GACCUGGUGGCUAUAGCGAGGGAGCUACACCCGAUCCCAUCCCGAACUCGGCCGUGAAAGCCCUCAGCGCCAAUGGUACUGCGUCUUAAGGCGUGGGAGAGUAGGUCGCUGCCAGGUCU
rnacentral:rRNA from 1 species